rnacentral:lncRNA from 1 species
GAGAGGCAGGCAGAGGUCAGAUCACAUCAGGCCUGUAGGCCAAGGCGGAGGAAGAAACAGGUGAUAUAGGACUCAAGGACCACACCUGCUCCCAGGCGAAGGGAGUUUGCUGUGGGUGCCCCUCCCUGUCUGUGUGUCCAGUGUGUGGAUAUUCUUCAUACCUUGCCCAUAUUGAACAAAUACUUUUUUCUAUUCAAUAUUUAGAAGACAUUGCAUUAAAUAGCAAGAUGGCAGAUGAACAUCAGGAAGGAACAUUAGGAACAUCCACAGCGUUCCAUCCAGGAACCUUCACCAUGGAAACCCUUGUGCUCAUGGGCGUGGUCUCAAGACACAGUCAGCUGUUGGGGAUCAGCGGCCACACUCAUCGUAGCAGAGAGGCAGGACCAACUGGGGGAGGGUCCUUCUGUGACACCUACUGCAUCACCGGGCUGUGUGAAGUGACUCAGCUGCCAGAACUCACACAAUAUAAUUCUACACCAAACCUCACGGGAAAAAUGCUCCACAACCCUCAGACUUAAACAGCAGCACUGGCUCCCCUCCAGAUCUCCAGCUCCCUGACCUUCAAACUCCAACUCCAACACCAGCUCCGCCCCGGGUCUCCAGCUCCACAAUCCUCAAACUACAACAGCAGCACCAGCUCCCCUGGGGAUCUCCAGCUCAAUGACUCUCAGACUUGGGAGGCAGCUCCAGCUCCCACCAAGCCUCCAGCUCCACAACCUUCAAACUGGAAUAGCAGCACCAGCUACUCCCUGGGUCUCCAGCUCCCCCAAAAUUCAACUAUAGCACUGGCUGUUCCCCAGCGCCACCAGCUCCACAACCCUCAACUUACACGGUGGUAGCACCAGCUCCUCCCUAGGUCUCCAGCUACAUGACCAUCAAACUUGAACUGCAAUACCAGCUCCUCUUCGGCCUCCAGCUCCACAAUCCUCCAACAACAACAGCAACACCAGCUCCUCCCUGAAUCUCCAGCUCAACAACCCUCAGACUUGAGAGGCAGCACUGGCAUCUCCCCAAGGCUCCAGCUCCACGACCCUCAGAUUUGAACAGCGGUAGCACCAGCUCCUGUCCAGGUCUCCAGCUUCAUGAUCCUUAAACUAGAAUAGCAACACCACCACCUCCCUGGGUUUCCAGCUCCACGACCCUAAGACAUGAAUGGCAGGACCGGGUCCCCCCUAGGGCUCCAGCUUCAAGACCCACAGAUAUAGACGGCAGCACCGGCUCUUUCUGGGAUCUCCAGCUCCACGGCCUUCAAACAAGAUCAGCAGCACCAGCUCCCCUCUGGUUCUGCAGUUCCACAAUCCUCAGACAUGAACAAUAGCACCGGCUCUUCCUUGGGUCUCCAGCUUUGCUACCCUCAGACUAGAACAGCAACACUGGUUCCUCCCUGGGUCUCCAGCUCUACAAGUCUCAGACUUGAA